GACGAACCGUGCGAACGUUAUUCGGAAUCACUGGGCUUAAAGCGCGUGUAGGCGGCCCGGCACGUCCGUCGCUGAAAUCCCCCGGCUCAACCGGGGAAGGGGCGUGGAUACGGCCGGGCUGGAGGGGGGUAGGGGGAGCCGGAACUUCCGGUGGAGCGGUGAAAUGCGUUGAGAUCGGAAGGAACACCAACGGCGAAAGCACUCUGCUGGGCCGACACUGACACUGAGAGACGAAAGCUAGGGGAGCAAAUGGG
rnacentral:rRNA from 1 species